CACUGCUAGAGCUAUUGUCUCUUGAUAAACAUGGCAAUAAAGCUGAUAUUAUUGCAAGAAUACUGACCUUCCUAUCCAAACCUGUGGACAAUGGAAUACCUAUUCCUGAGCCAAAGAAAAGGAGAAAGUCAUCAAUUGAAAAGGCUGGUGGUGGUCCUACUAAGAAGAGUAAAGUAGAUGAAGAUGAAGAAGCUGGUCCUGAGACUGAGAAGGACAAUAAAGGAGAGAAAGAAGACAAUG